rnacentral:rRNA from 1 species
AGUGAACGCUGGCGGUAUGCCUAACACAUGCAAGUCGAACGGCAACACAGUAAGAUCUCUCUCCUACGGGUGGCGAGUGGCGGAUGGGUGAGGAAUACAUCGGCAUCUACUUUUUCGUGGGUGAUUACGUAGGAAAACUUACGCUACUACCGCAUACGACCUACGGGUGAAAGCAGUGGAUCUUCGGACCUUUCGCGAUUGAAUGAGCCGAUGUCGGAUUAGCUAGUUGGCAUGGUAAAGGCCCACCAAGGCGACGAUCCGUAGCUGGUCUGAGAGGAUGAUCAGCCACACUGGAACUGAGACACGGUCCAGACUCCUACGGGAGGCAGCAGUGGGGAAUCUUCGACAAUGGGCGAAAGCCUGAUGCAGCAACGCCGCGUGAGUGAUGAAGGCCUUCGGAUUGUAAAGCCCUUUUAUUAGGAAAGAAAAGCUGCGGAUGUAUCCACGCACGUUCUGACGGUACCCAAACAGAAAGCACCGGCUAACUUCGUG